AUUGAACGCUGGCGGCAUGCCUUACACAUGCAAGUCGAACGGUAACAGGCCGCAAGGUGCUGACGAGUGGCGAACGGGUGAGUAAUGCAUCGGAACGUGCCCAGUCGUGGGUGGUAACUGCUCGAAAGAGCAGCUAAUACCGCAUACGACCGGAGGGUGAAAGCGGGGGACCGUAAGGCCUCGCGCGAUUGGAGCGGCCGAUGUAAGAUUAGCUAGUUGGUGGGGUAAAGGCCUACCAAGGCAACGAUCUGUAGUUGGUCUGAGAGGACGACCAGCCACACUGGGACUGAGACACGGCCCAGACUCCUACGGGAGGCAGCAGUGGGGAAUUUUGGCCAAUGGGCGAAAGCCUGAUCCAGCAAUGCCGCGUGCAGGAAGAAGGCCUUCGGGUUGUAAACUGCUUUUGUCAGGGAAGAAAUCUUCUGGGCUAAUACCCCGGGAGGAUGACGGUACCUGAAGAAUAAGCACCGGCUAACUACGUGCCAGCAGCCGCGGUAAGAC
rnacentral:rRNA from 1 species